UACGAAGGGGGCUAGCGUUGCUCGGAAUUACUGGGCGUAAAGGGCGCGUAGGCGGCACUGUUAGUCAGGCGUGAAAGUCCUGGGCUCAACCUGGGAACUGCGCUUGAUACGGCAGAGCUAGAGGAUGGAAGAGGGUCGCGGAAUUCCCAGUGUAGAGGUGAAAUUCGUAGAUAUUGGGAAGAACACCGGUGGCGAAGGCGGCGACCUGGUCCAUUACUGACGGCUGAGGCGCGACAGCGUGGGGAGCAAACAGG
rnacentral:rRNA from 1 species